rnacentral:rRNA from 1 species
AUUGAACGCUGGCGGCAGGCUUAACACAUGCAAGUCGAGCGGGGGAAGGAAGCUUGCUACCGGACCUAGCGGCGGACGGGUGAGUAAUGCUUAGGAAUCUGCCUAUUAGUGGGGGACAACAUCUCGACAGGGAUGCUAAUACCGCAUACGUCCUACGGGAGAAAGCAGGGGAUCUUCGGACCUUGCGCUAAUAGAUGAGCCUAAGUCGGAUUAGCUAGUUGGCGGGGUAAAGGCCUACCAAGGCGACGAUUUGUAGCGUGUAUGAGAGGAUGAUCGUCCUAGUUUGAACGGAGACCGCGCCCCGAGCCUUACCGGAUGCAGCAGGUGGGAAUAUUGGACAAUGGGUGAAAGCCUGGUCCAGCCAUGACGCGUCUGUGAAGAAGGCGUUAUGGUUGUAGAGCUCUUUAAGCGAAGGGAAGGCUACUUUAAUUAAUUCAUAGAGAUAGUGGAGGUUACUCGCAGAAUAAGCACCGGCUAACUCUGCGCCAGCCGCCGCGGUAAUAC